CCACAAGCCAUUUGGAUAUUCAUGCACCGAGGUGAAUGAACUGUCUGCAACUGAUAUGACUACAGGAAGAGAUCGCAUCAACUUCCCAAGUUGGGUCCACUCAAGAGCGAAGAAUCAGGUGUUGACAGCAAACUCUGGACAGACUCAAGGA